rnacentral:rRNA from 1 species
UCUCUCUGAAUCUGCGAACGGCUCCGCAAACCAGUUGUAAACUAUAGCAAGUACUUCGCGUGGGCCGCUUUAACCGGUGGUCCGCGCGUAAUAUGGAUAACCCUGGUAAUUCUGAGGCUAAUACAAGAACGUAAUACCUGACCAACCGUCAAGGGAGGUCGGAAGGCGUGCGAGUAUUUUCGCGAGGUUUUUCCAGGAAAGGACGCACGUCUGGACCGCGACAAACACGGUUGGGGCCCCGGUACCCUAGUGGGCUGGGGUUCUCACCUGAGCGGCUCUUGCUGUGUGCUUCUGACCUAUCAACUGGACGGCAGCGUAAUGGACAUGCUAUGGUGACAACGGGUGCAGAGGAUUAGAGUUCGAUCCUGGAGAGUGGGCCUGAGAGAUUGAGC